CAGUUAAAAAGCUCGUAGUUGUAUACCUUUGAGUCUAGACGUCGAUUAUUUUUCGUCGUCAAGAUGGUUUUGGAGUGCGGAUCCUAUUCUUACUUAAUUGGAAGAAUAGGUUUUCCGUGCAGUUUACUUUGAGGAAAUUAGAGUGUUCCAAGCAAGCAUGGUUUGAAUACAAUAGCAUGGGAUAAUACUUUGUGUCUUGACGUUGUGCACAUCAGUGUCGAUGUCUUGAUAAGUUUCGAAAGGGAUAUCUGGGGACAUUCGUAUUAAGCUGUCAGAGGUGAAAUUCUUAGAUUUUCUUAAGACGAACAAAUGCGAAAGCAUCUGUCAAAGAUGUUUUCAUUGAUCAAGAACGAGAGUUAGGGGAUCGAAGACGAUUAGAUACCGUCCUAGUCUUAACAGUAAACUAUGCCAUCUAGGGAUUGGAGGCUGCGUUUUCGCGCUUUCAGUCCUUCAAGAGAAAUUAAAGUCAUUGGGUUCUGGGGGGAGUAUGGUCGCAAGACUGAAACUUAAAGAAAUUGACGGAAGGGCACCACCAGGAGUGGAGCCUGCGGCUUAAUUUGACUCAACACGGGGAAUCUUACUAGGUCCAGACCAUGGGAGGAUUGACAGUUUGAGGGCGCUUUCUUGAUUCUUUGGGUGGUGGUGCAUGGCCGUUCU
rnacentral:rRNA from 1 species